UACAGAGGGGGCAAGCGUUGUUCGGAAUUACUGGGCGUAAAGGGCGCGUAGGCGGCCUUCUAAGUCGAACGUGAAAUCCCUGGGCUCAACCCAGGAACUGCGUCCGAUACUGGAUGGCUUGAAUUCGGGAGAGGGAUGCAGAAUUCCAGGUGUAGCGGUGAAAUGCGUAGAUAUCUGGAGGAAUACCGGUGGCGAAGGCGGCAUCCUGGACCGACAUUGACGCUGAGGAGCGAAAGCUAGGGGAGCAAAUGGG
rnacentral:rRNA from 1 species